CACGUAGGGUGCGAGCGUUGUCCGGAAUUAUUGGGCGUAAAGAGCGUGUAGGCGGCCAGGUAGGUCUGCUGUGAAAACUCGAGGCUCAACCUCGAGACGUCGGCGGAAACCAUCUGGCUAGAGUCCGGAAGAGGAGAGUGGAAUUCCUGGUGUAGCGGUGAAAUGCGUAGAUAUCAGGAGGAACACCGGUGGCGAAAGGCGGAUCUCUG
rnacentral:rRNA from 1 species